rnacentral:lncRNA from 10 species
CGAAAACAACAGGAAUGUGUUCCCUCACUGCUCUGAAGGCCCAAAGUCUGAAAUUAAGGCAUCAGUAGGACUACAGUCUCUCCAAAGGAUCCAGGGAAGUAUCUGCUCUUGCCUCUUCCACCUUUGGGCAACUCCGAGUGUUUCUUGUUUUGUGGCCAUGCCACCCCAAUUUUUGUCUCCAUGGUCACAUUGCACCCUCCUCUUCUGUUUGUCUCCUCUGUGUGUCGGCGUGGAAUCUCCCUCGGCCUCUAUUUUAUGAAGACACUUUUGAUGGUAUUUAAAGCUCAUCUGGGUCAUCCAAGGUUCUUCUCUAUAUACAAUUGAUUUGGUUUGGAGUCUUCUAAUCUGUGCAUUGGUUAAAUUUGCCAUUUAAACAGGAAGAGCCAAAUUCCCUUGUACUGAAUAAUAACCACCUAACAAUUUCAGCUGGCCCGCUAUUCCAAAAGAAUCUAUACCUAGACCUCUCUGGAUC